rnacentral:rRNA from 1 species
AUUUAUAAUCUGGCACCUUCGGUGUCCGAGUUGUAAUCUCUAGAAGUGUUUUCCGCGUUGGACCGCACACAAGUCUGUUGGAAUACAGCGGCAUAGUGGUGAAACCCCCGUAUAUGGUGCGGACGCCCAGCGCUUUGUGAUACACUUUCAAUGAGUCGAGUUGUUUGGGAAUGCAGCUCAAAUUGGGUGGUAAAUUCCAUCUAAAGCUAAAUAUUGGCGAGAGACCGAUAGCGAACAAGUACCGUGAGGGAAAGAUGAAAAGCACUUUGGAAAGAGAGUUAACAGUACGUGAAAUUGUUGGAAGGGAAACGCUUGAAGUCAGACUUGCUUGCCGGAGCUUGCUUCGGUUUGCAGGCCAGCAUCAGUUUUCCGGGGUGGAUAAUGACGGUUUGAAGGUAGCAGUCUCGGCUGUGUUAUAGCUUUCCGUUGGAUACGCCCUGGGGGACUGAGGAACGCAGCGUGCUUUUUGCGAAAGACUCGUCUUUUUCACGCUUAGGAUGCUGGUGGAAUGGCUUUAAACGACCCGUCUUGAAACACGGACCAAGGAGUCUAACAUGCUCGCGAGUAUUUGGGUGUCAAACCCGGAUGCGCAAUGAAAGUGAAUGUAGGUGGGAACCGCAAGGUGCACCAUCGACCGAUCUGGAUUUUUUAAGAUGGAUUUGAGUAAGAGCGCGUAUGUUGGGACCCGAAAGAUGGUGAACUAUGCCUGAAUAGGGCGAAGCCAGAGGAAACUCUGGUGGAGGCUCGUAGCGGUUCUGACGUGCAAAUCGAUCGUCAAAUUUGGGUAUAGGGCGAAAG